GGAGCCGGCUUGCUGGCGAAGAACGGUGACACGGUUUGCCUGAUUUACCGUGUGAUCUUCUUCGCCAGCAAGCCGGCUCC
rnacentral:misc_RNA from 1 species